rnacentral:rRNA from 1 species
UACGAAGGGGGCUAGCGUUGUUCGGAAUUACUGGGCGUAAAGGGCGCGCAGGCGGCCUUUGAAGUCAGGCGUGAAAGCCCCGGGCUCAACCUGGGAAUGGCGCUUGAUACUCGAAGGCUUGGAGUUCGGGAGAGGAGAGUGGAAUUCCCAGUGUAGAGGUGAAAUUCGUAGAUAUUGGGAAGAACACCGGUGGCGAAGGCGGCUCUCUGGACCGAGACUGACGCUGAGGCGCGAAAGCGUGGGGA